AAAAUACUCCCUACGUCCGAAAUUACUUGUCGCAUAAAUGGAUGAAAAUGGAUGUAUUUAGAAUUAAAAUACAUCUAGAUACAUUCAUUUCUUCGACAAGUAUUUUCGGAUGGAGGGAGUAUUGC
rfam:Triticum aestivum genome assembly, contig: Triticum_aestivum_CS42_TGACv1_scaffold_000066_1AL